AUUGAACGCUGGCGGCAGGCCUAACACAUGCAAGUCGAACGAGUGGCGGACGGGUGAGUAAUGUCUGGGAAACUGCCCGAUGGAGGGGGAUAACUCCUGGAAACGGUAGCUAAUAACGCAUACCAUCGGAUGUGCCCAGAUGGGAUUAGCUCGUAGGUGGGGUAACGGCUCACCUAGGCGACCAUCCCUACCUGGUCUGAGAGGAUGACCAGCCACACUGGAACUGAGACACGGUCCAGACUCCUACGGUAGGCAGCAGUGUGGAAUAUUGCACAAUGGGCUCAAGCCUGAUGCAGCCAUGCCGCGUGUAUGAAGAAGGCCUUCGGGUUGUAAAGUACUUUCAGCGAGGAGGCGUUACUCGCAGAAGAAGCACCGGCUAACUCCGUGCCAGCCGCCGCGGUAAUUC
rnacentral:rRNA from 1 species